UUGUGGUCAAAAGGUUUGCCCACGCCUGGUCGAGACCAUGACAUGGGUGAGAAGAUGUUCAGACCCUGUCACACCCUGAACCAGUCGGACCAGGAGCAGACCACCCAGGUCAUCUCAUUAGCCUCUAAUGAAGUGGCUGCUCAAUGUAUGUCUCUGUAUGAACCAGGUGCAUAAAAAUAAACCAGUGGAGACGGACAGGAAAUGAACACGUGAGAUGACAUCCUGCCGUGUUGCUGGCUUAAUUAUCAUCACCGUCCUCACGGAGCUGUGGAGUCUGAGCCGCUCCUCGUUCUCGUUUACCCGGCGGCUCGGUUCAUAGGCCUCCUGCAGGACUCCUGACGACUCGUGACCUGAGAGGAGGUGAGAUGAGCCCGCCGCUGUCACACUGUGAGAGCAGAGCCGUGCACAUGUGAAGCCGCAUCCCAUUAACAUGGCACUGACGCAGGAAUAUUAACUGAGGACUUUAAAGUGGACGGCAACUGUGCCGGAAAAUAAAACUUCUAAAUGAUGAGGACAAAAUCUCCAUCUCACAGCUCCUCUCAUCUUCUAGCUGGAGGACAGAGCUGAUGCUGCUGCUGCUGCUGCUGCUGAUGCUGAUGCUGCUGCUGAAAAGGACAGUGGGGAGCACUGGUUUCAGGAAGGGGGCUGCUGGAAGUGACUUUAAUGUCAGGCAGGAAGCAAAGAGCAAGAAAAGAGGCGAGGAGAGAAAAGGGAGGAGGAGGAGGGUGGUGAUGAUGGUGGCUUUGGCCCCCGGGAAGACGCAUCAAAGGAGCAUUUGUCGGAGAGAGCAGCUGGGAGUCUAAUCAGAGAGAGAGAGAACUGGGGUUAGUGUGUGUGCAUGUGUGUGUUUGGAAGGGAAAAGGGUGGAAGGGUUGCGUCAGGGGUGACAGAUGAAGCAGCUUCCUGUGGAAUGAAUGUAGGGCAUUCAUCAGGGUGCAGCUGUUUCUGUGUCGCUCUCACUGCGUGUGUGUGUGUGAGAGAGAGAGAGAGAGAUGUUGAUAGUGCACAGUUGUUGCAGGUUUCACGCUCACACUGAUGAAUGAAACACUAUAAGUUUUUGGACACCUGUGCUGAGUGACACAGUCCAGCAGCUGGGUAUUGUGUGUGUGUGUGUGUGUGUGUGUUUGUUUUCCUAAAGAAUGUAAAGUUGAGACAGAAUUUAAUUUAGUGUUUACUCAGUUAAAGCACUUCUUCAGGACUCCCUGUAUUCAUCUGGUUUCAUCAGAAUACUCGGGUGUUUUUGUCUUUGUAAGAAAAGCUGAGAACAUUUUCUGCCUUUGUGUCAACUGCAAAUAAAAAGUCCUGAAAAGAAGGAAACAAAACAAAGUAUGAAGAACCGCAGCUGUUUGUUUUAACUGGGAAAUGGCUUUAAUACAAUCAGAAUUAAAUAAGUAUUAAAAGUAUUAAUUGUAUUACAUCGAUUUGACAUUAUUUUUAAGCCUCAAUUUUUAUUUUAAAUUAAUGGCUAGCGGUUAGCAUUAGCAUAGCAAAGCAGAACUCUUCUUCUUCUGUUAUUUAUAUGUCUAUUAUUUAUUUAUCUGGCGUCCUCGUUUCUCCCUGUAGUUAUUUUUUGAAGACGCUCCUGAACGCACCAACGGGACACGGUUGUUUCUCCACCGUAAUGUUGUCAUAAACGCGCAAGUACAGGUCGCCGUUUCCGCCGGAAAUCUCGAGUUGCGGUUUUGUUUUUUGUUUUUGCAUCACGCAAUCAAAAUCACGCGACGACAACGACGCUUCUGAGUGUCCGUAAAGGAAGUGACGAGCACAUACCCCGGAGUCUUGUUGUGAAAACGAAGUUGUAUUUCUAUAUUUCUGGAGACGUCGAGGAGCCGUCUGGUUUCGCAGCAGUUUCCUCUUUGGCCGUCAUGAUAGUUGGAGAGUCGUGGUGCAGCUGGGACCAAUACCAGCUGUCAACAGGUGGGGGCGGACAACACACCGGACAGUUCAACCCGUCCAUGACUUCGGCUCCAUUGGACAAAACCCUCCACUCACUCCUAGAUGUUUUUGGACGGUAGAGGAAACCGGUUUAUUGUCUUGCUGUAAAGACCAGAGCGCCCUCUGCAGGGCUAAUUUUAAUAAAAAAUAAACACCAGGAGUCUAAAGACACCACAUGAAGCUCUGGGUUUAUUACCUCCUGAUUGACUGAUUUCACACCAGUACAAAUAAAGCUAAAAGGGCAACGUGUUCGGUGCGAAGGCUCCCAGAGAGACGUGGGUAAUCAGAGGACAUCACUGUCCGCCGCCGUCAUACAUGCCUGCCUGUCUGUUUAGUCAAUUACAGGAUGUGAAAAGCAAUGACGGCUACUGACGGAGGUGUCAGGGGUCGGGGGCUGAUCUGAAAGCUUCUCUGUGAAUCCAAACAGGCAGACGGCGAGAGAGAGAGAGCCGGAGUCAAAGGUCACCGUGUCGCUCAUUGUGUCCUAGCUGGAUUAAUAACAAGGCUUCAGCGCUCUCUCUCUCUCUCUCUCUCUCUCUCAUACUCUCAGCUGUUUCUUCCGCCCACCCUACCACUCACCCUCCUCCUCCACCACCCACUGCACUCGGUGGCUUCUUCCUCUCUAAGGGCUUCUUAAUGACUAACCUGUCAGGAUUAACAUCUCUCCCUAUUUCACACUGUGCUAUCCGGCUUCCUCCUCAUCCUCUAAUGAACAGUCUCGGCUCCAAGGACGGAGCAGUCGGAGGGUGAAGACGGAUGGAAACACCCAGAACGACUACAUCACUGCCGGGUUUCACAUUUCAGGAUUUCAGGCUAAAACUUCAAGCCAACCGUUUUGUUUUUUUUUGUUUUUUUUUGCUUUAUUUCCUGUCUUUGUAGAAUCUCUGACGCCUCCUGAUGUUGACGACAACUUCAUUAAUCACUAGAACGUUCUAAUGAAUUGACCAGCCAGGCUCUAUUGAUCCCUGGGGUAUCAGUGGGUCGUCUUUGUGAAGUCUGAUACCUCCCUCUGAGUCUGUGGAUCAAACAUCACGAGGGAAGAGGAAUAUCUCGUAGAGAGCGCCUUAGUAUUUUCUGAAGAUUUUCCUGAAGCGGCCAGCGGCUGAAAGUACACCAACAUACACCCAUUAGACAAAAAGGCAAAUCCCCUCCUCAUCCACACACCAGUCUCAGCCUCUUCUCAGCUUGUGUUACACGUGUCACAUUUAUAGUAAUAACGCUCCUUUCAUCACAGGAAUUAGCCUUAUGUUACAGGUUGUCUUAAAUGGGAAGAGCAGCUUACAUCUUAUUAAAGUGUUUCCAUGGCUCCGACACUAAGGAUGCUGGGGGAUUUGGCAUCCUUCCUCCAGACUGGAUCGCUCAGAUCUUUUUUCUAGGCUGAGGUUAGAUUAGGCAUUGAUCUGACGGCUAAUUUGAUGCCACAUUACUGCUGUGAAAUUACAGCAGCGUGCAGCUGCCAUUUAGGAACACGAGCCGGACAACUCCCCCUCCACUGCUCCCAAAUCAGUUACGCAAAUGAAGUUAAAAGCUGGGGCCGCGACAGUCAGAGGUGUAGCGCGAGGAUUCAAUUGUGAGUCGUCCUGUAGCGAUAGCUUAGUGACAUGGAGGCUAACACAACGAGGCGUUGAACACAAACACAGGGAGCGUCAUUGAAGUGAUGUGGUGGUUGUGAUACUUCUGUUCUGUUUGGAGCACGUACUGCGUGACAUUUGGAGUCGUGAGAUUUACCUUAAAUACCAGUAAACACCAACUCAGUGUAACAGUACUAGUAGUCAGAGAGUGAUGCGUUUUACUGCGUUCCUGUAUUAGCAACCCACCCAGAUACUACUACUCAUCAAGAUUACAGUAGUACAACCAGUACUCUGUGAGCUGGAGAGUUUCAUUUUUUGAUAAUUAAAGAUGAGCAUCAUGAUCACGAGGAUGCUGUUAGCUGUGCUAAGCUAACCACACCAUUGCCAGGA